UACGUAGGAUGCAAGCGUUGUCCGGAAUUAUUGGGCGUAAAGAGUUCGUAGGCGGUUGCCUAAGUCUGGUGUUAAAUACAGGAGCUCAACUCCUGCAUGGCACUGGAAACUGGGCGGCUAGAGUAUGGUAGAGGUCACGGGAAUUCCAGGUGUAGCGGUGAAAUGCGUAGAUAUCAGGAGGAACACCAAUAGCGAAGGCAGCUCGCUGGGACGUUACUGACGCUGAGGCGCGAAAGCGUGGGGAGCGAACAGG
rnacentral:rRNA from 1 species